AGUGAACGCUGGCGGCAGGCCUAACACAUGCAAGUCGAGCGGCAGCGCGUCCGACCACCCUCGGGUGGUCGGAUGGCGGCGAGCGGCGGACGGGUGAGGAAUGCAUCGGAAUCUGCCUCGUUGUGGGGGAUAACGUAGGGAAACUUACGCUAAUACCGCAUACGACCUACGGGUGAAAGUGGGGGACCUUCGGGCCUCACGCGAUGAGAUGAGCCGAUGCCGGAUUAGCUAGUUGGCGGGGUAAAGGCCCACCAAGGCGACGAUCCGUAGCUGGUCUGAGAGGAUGAUCAGCCACACUGGAACUGAGACACGGUCCAGACUCCUACGGGAGGCAGCAGUGGGGAAUAUUGGACAAUGGGGGCAACCCUGAUCCAGCCAUGCCGCGUGUGUGAAGAAGG
rnacentral:rRNA from 1 species